CCUACGGGAGGCAGCAGUAAGGAAUCUUGCGCAAUGGGCGAAAGCCUGACGCAGCGACGCCGCGUGGGCGAUGAAGGCCUUCGGGUUGUAAAGCCCUUUUCUGGGGGACGAGGAAGGACGGUACCCCAGGAAUAAGUCACGGCUAACUACGUGCCAGCAGCCGCGGUAAAACGUAGGUGGCAAGCGUUAUCCGGAAUCACUGGGCGUAAAGGGCGUCUAGGCGGACGGGUAAGUUGGAUGUGAAAGCUCCUGGCUCAACUGGGAGAGGUCGUUCAAUACUACCAGACUUGAGAGCAGUAGAGGGAGAUGAAAUUCCCGGUGUAGUGGUGAAAUGCGUAGAUAUCGGGAGGAACACCAGUGGCGAAAGCGGUCUCCUGGACUGUUUCUGACGCUCAGACGCGAAAGCUAGGGGAGCAAACGGGAUUAGAUCCCCCUGUAGU
rnacentral:rRNA from 1 species